AGCGAUAUUUCAGCCAUUGAAGCAGAUGAGCGGAUAUGGCUUUGCAUGGAGGAGACGCCGCUCUCAACAAUGUAAUGAUGCUGAAA